UGGUGGACAGAUUUGGCUGCUUGCAACCACCCAUAAAAAAUGCUAAAAU
rnacentral:ncRNA from 1 species